CUCCUGGAAACGGGUGGUAAUGCCGGAUGUUCCAGUUGAUCGCAUGGUCUUCUGGGAAAGCUUUCGCGGUAUGGGAUGGGGUCGCGUCCUAUCAGCUUGACGGCGGGGUAACGGCCCACCGUGGCUUCGACGGGUAGCCGGCCUGAGAGGGCGACCGGCCACAUUGGGACUGAGAUACGGCCCAGACUCCUACGGGAGGCAGCAGUGGGGAAUAUUGCACAAUGGGCGCAAGCCUGAUGCAGCGACGCCGCGUGAGGGAUGGAGGCCUUCGGGUUGUAAACCUCUUUUAUCGGGUAGCAAGCGUGAGUGAGUUUACCCGUUGAAUAAGCACCGGCUAACUACGUGCCAGCAGCCGCGGUAAUACGUAGGGUGCAAGCGUUAUCCGGAAUUAUUGGGCGUAAAGGGCUCGUAGGCGGUUCGUCGCGUCCGGUGUGAAAGUCCAUCGCUUAACGGUGGAUCCGCGCCGGGUACGGGCGGGCUUGAGUGCGGUAGGGGAGACUGGAAUUCCCGGUGUAACGGUGGAAUGUGUAGAUAUCGGGAAGAACACC
rnacentral:rRNA from 1 species